rnacentral:piRNA from 1 species
UAUCUGGGAUAGAUGGUGGAAAGGGCCAUU